AUUGAACGCUGGCGGCAGGCCUAACACAUGCAAGUCGAGCGGAUGACGGGAGCUUGCUCCUUGAUUCAGCGGCGGACGGGUGAGUAAUGCCUAGGAAUCUGCCUGGUAGUGGGGGACAACGUUUCGAAAGGAACGCCAAUACAGCAUACGUCCUACGGGAGAAAGCAGGGGACCUUCGGGCCUUGCGCUAUCAGAUGAGCCUAGGUCGGAUUAGCUAGUUGGUGAGGUAAUGGCUCACCAAGGCGACGAUCCGUAACUGGUCUGAGAGGAUGAUCAGUCACACUGGAACUGAGACACGGUCCAGACUCCUACGGGAGGCAGCAGUGGGGAAUAUUGGACAAUGGGCGAAAGCCUGAUCCAGCCAUGCCGCGUGUGUGAAGAAGGUCUUCGGAUUGUAAAGCACUUUAAGUUGGGAGGAAGGGCAGUAAGCUAAUACCUUGCUGUUUUGACGUUACCGACAGAAUAAGCACUGGCUAACUCUGUGCCAGCAGCCGCCGUAAUAC
rnacentral:rRNA from 1 species